rnacentral:rRNA from 2 species
AGGUGUGAUCUUACCAGCACUAAUGCACCAGAUCCCAUCAGAACUCCGCAGAUAAGCGUGCAUGGGCGAGAGUAGUUCCAUGAUGGGUAACCUCCUUGGAAAUCCUCGUCAAGGGAUCUA